rnacentral:rRNA from 1 species
GACGAACGCUGGCGGCGUGCUUAACACAUGCAAGUCGAACGAAGAGCGAUGGAAGCUUGCUUCUAUCAAUCUUAGUGGCGAACGGGUGAGUAACGCGUAAUCAACCUGCCCUUCAGAGGGGGACAACAGUUGGAAACGACUGCUAAUACCGCAUACGAUCUAACCUCGGCAUCGAGGAUAGAUGAAAGGUGGCCUCUACAUGUAAGCUAUCACUGAAGGAGGGGAUUGCGUCUGAUUAGCUAGUUGGAGGGGUAACGGCCCACCAAGGCGAGGAUCAGUAGCCGGUCUGAGAGGAUGAACGGCCACAUUGGGACUGAGACACGGCCCAGACUCCUACGGGAGGCAGCAGUGGGGAAUCUUCCGCAAUGGACGAAAGUCUGACGGAGCAACGCCGCGUGAGGGAUGACGGCCUUCGGGUUGUAAAGCUCUGUUAAUCGGGACGAAAGGCCUUCUUGCGAAUAGUGAGAAGGAUUGACGGUACCGGAAUAGAAAGCCACGGCUAACUACGUG